UCAAACAUAAAAGGUGGCUUCGGCUACCACUUACAGAUGGACCCGCGGCGCAUUAGCUAGUUGGUGAGGUAAUGGCUCACCAAGGCGACGAUGCGUAGCCGACCCUGAGAGGGUGAUCGGCCACACUGGGACUGAGACACGGCCCAGACUCCUACGGAGGCAGCAGUAGGGAAUCUUCCGCAAUGGACGAAAGUCUGACGGAGCAACGCCGCGUGAGUGAUGAAGGUUUUCGGAUCGUAAAGCUCUGUUGUUAGGGAAGAACAAGUAUCGUUCGAAUAGGGCGGUACCUUGACGGUACCUAACCAGAAAGCCACGGCUAACUACGUGCCAGCAGCCGCGGUAAUACGUAGGUGGCAAGCGUUGUCCGGAAUUAUUGGGCGUAAAGGGCUCGCAGGCGGUUUCUUAAGUCUGAUGUGAAAGCCCCCGGCUCAACCGGGGAGGGUCAUUGGAAACUGGGGAACUUGAGUGCAGAAGAGGAGAGUGGAAUUCCACGUGUAGCGGUGAAAUGCGUAGAGAUGUGGAGGAACACCAGUGGCGAAGGCGACUCUCUGGUCUGUAACUGACGCUGAGGAGCGAAAGCGUGGGGAGCGAAGCAGGAUUAGAUACCCUGGUAGU
rnacentral:rRNA from 1 species